CAGAGUGUGACGACGAGCAGCCAUUGGUGCAGCUAUGCUGACGCUGGUAGCCCUCGCCGUGGUUCUGGUCGGCGCCGUGGACGGGUCCACACCCACGGCGCUCUGCGGCACACAGCCGUGUCCUGAGCCGUUCGAGUGCCGUGAAGAGGGAGACGUGUCGGUCUGUGUGCGCGUGCCAGCCCCCACCUGCGCUGACACCAGCUGCCCGGCCGGACAAGAGUGUAUUCUGCAACAGGCGUUUUGUGACUCCUUACCCUGCGACCCGAAACCUACUUGCGUCAAUAGAAAUCCCUGCGGAACCUGCUUUGCUCCGCAGGAGUUUUGCCAGCUGCUGCCAUGGCCGAUCUGCCGUCUUGUCGUAACGAUAACAUGCGCCAACAAGAUCUGCCCGCCCGGAAAGAAGUGCAAGGAGCAAGUCGUUAACUGCUUCAGAGCCCCGUGUCCCCCGAUCCCAGAGUGUGUGUAAAUGAUUCUGUAUGUCUAAUGGCAUCAAAUGAGAUGAUGGCUACGCGAAACACGAUCGCGCAUAGAUAAAACACGGGUAAGGUCUCGCUUGGGUACGUAUGCUGAGGUCACAGCAUUAAUAUUAUUGUUGCGGAUCAUCUUGGCCUUCUGAGACACCUUAGCCUUCCAUCUUAUCGGUUCAUAAUUUCCGAUGCGAUGGUCAAAAUCGAUUUUGCGUGUGGUUUUGAAAUGUUUCAUUUUGUUUCACUAAAAAGCUGUUUACAUCAGAGACAUCUGGUGCAAAAUGCAAAUAACUAUGCAAUGGUAAGGUGAUCACCAAACAUGCAUAAUACGUACGUUUCCAGAUAAGUAUUUGAAAACUUGGUUGCGAUAAUGCUAAACCGGUGCUGAUCACGACGGAAACCAGCUUUUAAGCGUAAUGGAGGUCAUGGAGUAGAACGCUUUGUUCGGUUUCUUGCUUAGUUGGAGCAUUGCCACAGUUCUUUAUCAACAUCAGGAUAAUUGUGAGCCUCGUGUAUUAUUGUCAUGCUCAA